rnacentral:lncRNA from 1 species
CACUACAACAGAAUUAGGUUAUAGGGACACAUGUUUGGGACACUUUUGAGUAAGUGUCCCAUUUAUUCUAAAACUUAAAAAAAUAUUUGCUAAUGCCUAAAUAUAAAGCCCAAUCCAACCAAAAAUAAAAGAUUACUCUACUCAACCCACCACACCCAGUCCAUUUGGCCCGAUUACAAACAGAAAAGAAAAAAAAGAAAAGAAAAAUCAAUUACCAUCUUUUUUUUCUUUCUUCACUCAAUCCACUGAAAUUCUAGACGAAGAGCCUUUCCUGUUGUCCUCCUCCGCUACCGCAGCCAACGAGAUAGAGUUUCGGCGGUUGCUAAAUGCUUAAAUAAGUGUUGGUAAAUUAGCAGCACUCUUUUAGGUUAUAGCGACAC